rnacentral:rRNA from 1 species
UACGUAGGGUGCAAGCGUUAAUCGGAAUUACUGGGCGUAAAGCGUGCGCAGGCGGUUUUGUAAGUCUGUCGUGAAAUCCCCGGGCUCAACCUGGGAAUUGCGAUGGAGACUGCAAGGCUAGAAUCUGGCAGAGGGGGGGUAGAAUUCCACGUGUAGCAGUGAAAUGCGUAGAGAUGUGGAGGAAUACCGAUGGCGAAGGCAGCCCCCCUGGGAUAACACUGACGCUCAUGCACGAAAGCGUGGGGAGCAAACAGG